AUAGAUGUCCCCUGCCUUCUGUUCUCUCUGGCUCCACAGUAUAUUUAUAUAUACUGUGGAGCCAGAGAGAACAGAAGGCAGGGGACAUCUAU